UAGGGAAUCUUCCACAAUGGACGCAAGUCUGAUGGAGCAACGCCGCGUGAGUGAAGAAGGUUUUCGGACCGUAAAGCUCUGUUGUUGGUGAAGAAGGAUAGAGGUAGUAACUGGCCUUUAUUUGACGGUAAUCAACCAGAAAGUCACGGCUAACUACGUGCCAGCAGCCGCGGUAAUACGUAGGUGGCAAGCGUUGUCCGGAUUUAUUGGGCGUAAAGCGAGCGCAGGCGGAAGAAUAAGUCUGAUGUGAAAGCCCUCGGCUUAACCGAGGAAUUGCAUCGGAAACUGUUUUCUUGAGUGCAGAAGAGGAGAGUAGAACUCCAUGUGUAGCGGUGGAAUGCGUAGAUAUAUGGAAGAAUACCAGUGGCGAAGGCGGCUCUCUGGUCUGCAACUGACGCUGAGGCUCGAAAGCAUGGGUAGCGAACAGGAUUAGAUACCCUGGUAGUCCAUGCCGUAAACGAUGAGUGCUAAGUGUUGGGAGGCUUCCGCCUCUCAGUGCUGCAGCUAACGCAUUAAGCACUCCGCCUGGGGGAGUACGACCGCAAGGUUGAAACUCUAAA
rnacentral:rRNA from 1 species